GUGUCAGCAGCCGCGGUAAUACGUAGGGGGCGAGCGUUGUCCGGAAUUACUGGGCGUAAAGGGCGUGUAGGCGGGGGGACAAGUCAGAUGUGAAAUACUGCAGCUUAACCGCGGGGCUGCAUCUGAAACUGUGUCUCUUGAGUGUCGGAGAGGAAAGCGGAAUUCCCAGUGUAGCGGUGAAAUGCGUAGAGAUUGGGAGGAACACCGGUGGCGAAGGCGGCUUUCUGGACGACAACUGACGCUGAGGCGCGAAAGCGUGGGGAGCAAACAGGAUUAGAUACCCUGGUAGUCCACGCCGUAAACGAUGGAUACUAGGUGUAGGAGGUAUCGACCCCUUCUGUGCCGUAGUUAACGCAAUAAGUAUCCCGCCUGGGGAGUACGGCCGCAAGGCUGAAACUCAAAGGAAUUGACGG
rnacentral:rRNA from 1 species